UGUAUAAUGGGUCAGCGACUUAUAUUCUGUAGCAAGGUUAACCGAAUAGGGGAGCCGAAGGGAAACCGAGUCUUAACUGGGCGUUAAGUUGCAGGGUAUAGACCCGAAACCCGGUGAUCUAGCCAUGGGCAGGUUGAAGGUUGGGUAACACUAACUGGAGGACCGAACCGACUAAUGUUGAAAAAUUAGCGGAUGACUUGUGGCUGGGGGUGAAAGGCCAAUCAAACCGGGAGAUAGCUGGUUCUCCCCGAAAGCUAUUUAGGUAGCGCCUCGUGAAUUCAUCUCCGGGGGUAGAGCACUGUUUCGGCAAGGGGGUCAUCCCGACUUACCAACCCGAUGCAAACUGCGAAUACCGGAGAAUGUUAUCACGGGAGACACACGGCGGGUGCUAACGUCCGUCGUGAAGAGGGAAACAACCCAGACCGCCAGCUAAGGUCCCAAAGUCAUGGUUAAGUGGGAAACGAUGUGGGAAGGCCCAGACAGCCAGGAUGUUGGCUUAGAAGCAGCCAUCAUUUAAAGAAAGCGUAAUAGCUCACUGGUCGAGUCGGCCUGCGCGGAAGAUGUAACGGGGCUAAACCAUGCACCGAAGCUGCGGCAGCGACGCUGAUGCGUUGUUGGGUA
rnacentral:rRNA from 1 species